CCUGCGGGCGUUUGCUUCAAACCCAAACGUUUCUUCGCAGGCGGUGGCGCGUUGAKGCGUCKUCCGGACAACGGGCGUCCCUUSAAGUGCGAACCCCCCCCCCCCCCCCCC
rnacentral:misc_RNA from 1 species